AAUUUUUUAAUUUGAAUUAUAUUUCAAUUGUAAAGUUUGUUAGAAACAAUUAUCUACUUUAAUAGUUUUAGAUUUUGGUGUUGAAAUUAUUACUUAAAUUGUGAGACAAAUGAUACAAAUAUUAAAUGAUGGUUAAAAUAUGUAAUAAAAGUAGAGGAAUUAAAACUUAAUUUUGUGAAUAGUACAAAUACUUAUAAUAUAUUUUAACAACAAAAUUAUUCAUUUAACCCACAAUACGAGAAAAAAUACUAAUAGAAUAAUAAAAUGAAUGUCGAUACCCAUAAAAGUAAAGGUCAAAUGUUGGAUAUAUCUGUAAACGGGCCAAUUAUCCCGGGCCCACGUCAAGAACCAAAGUCCAAAAUAAAAAACAAAAAAAUAAACAAAAACCAAACCAAAAUUAAAAUGCCCAAUUUUAAAGCAGUCCAAAACCCAAAUAACCCCAAGUACAAUGGCCCAAUACCCUACAGCCCAAAAACAAAAAUCAAGGCAGAAACCUUAGGUUUUUUUGCCUCUUGCACAACAGCCCCAGCCUCCGUACCCUCCACCAGCACACAGCCCUCGUACGCCACGCCCGCACCUCCGUACGAUGCCAGCGGACUCCGUACUUGCAAGCAAAUACGAAAACACCAGCACAGCAAAGAGAAAGAAAAAAUGACAAGAAACUUGUAUUUUCUUUUUCAUUUUUUCUCUAUUUCCGGCUAUAAAAGCCAUGUAAUAACCGUUGUAUUUUUUUUUACGAACACUGAGACACAUAGAAUAGAAAAAAGCAAUCAAGAUAGUAAAGGUGAUUUUAAAGUUCUUUUUUUCUCUCUGUCGAUUUAUCUUCCUUUUGAAUGAUUUAAAUUUUUUUUAUACGUAAAUCGACACCGAUGAGAAGCCCAAAUACCUCAUGAUGCAGAGGUAAGGGCGAGGGGUCGAACAAUGUGGAGAUUUCCUUGCUCUAUGAAACCUUCUUUUUACUUGAAAAAAAAAUAAACAAGGAUUUAAAGUUUUUUUAAAAAAAAUGAAGAAGAAAAAUAACAAGGAAGCUUACCGGAUCUCUGCGAGCGUGCACCAGGUCAGGCCAUCACCUAAGAACGGUCGGUCACCAAAUAAAUGGUGGUUCAGCAGCCUCAUGCCAAAUGAAACCCUAACAAAUUGGGUUAAUGGCCUUUGUUUUAAUGGUGGGCUACAUUUUAAGAAGGAAAUAAUGGGGGGAUCAAUAAAGGACGAAACGGCGUCGUUGCAAAGGGGGAGGGUCCGCGCGUCAACCGGCUCCAAGACCCAAACCUACGCCCUUGUGCUGCAAAUAGGUUAUUUGCAAGAUUGGUCCUCCCCUUUUUCGUACACAUUCAAUCGCGCCUUAUCCGUUUUGUUUUGUUUUGUUUUUAAAUUAGCUUGUUAAUUUGUGCGUGUUUGCACUUUAGUCCGUGGCAAUGCUGCGUUGUGGGGGCCUAGAUUAUUUUCAGAUUUAGUCCUCGUGCAUUUGCGCACAUUACACGCCAGUCCCCAUUUUAGCUUCUUUUAUUUACAAAUUUCCCUUUUAUUUUUAAGUUUAUUUUAUUAAGCUUUUUAAUUAAAAUAUUCAUUAUUUUAAAAUUCAUUUAAUACUUUACCUAUUCUAUUAACUUCGCUUUUUUUUUCUUUUAUUUAUAUAUAUAUUUUUUUAAAGUUGGUUUUAUCCAAGUAUACAAUGUCUCAUUUGUUUUUCUUUUUGUGUGUAUUUGUGCACAUGUUGUUUUAAUGGUUUUUCUUUUCUUUUAUUUAAAAAUGCUUAUUGUUUUUAAAUUUCAUUUAAUUAUGUGCGUAAGUUAUUCAAGAAUUUUGUUUCUUAUGUGUUUAUAAAAUCAUCCUCUUGAAAUUCUUCUUUAUGUCAAAUUAUUUUAAUAUAUUAGAUAGCACCUCAUUUAAAUGUUUUUAUAUAUUUGUACACAUACAACCAAAUUACUUUAAUCCUAUAUAUAUUAUCAUUCCUAUGUCAUUUUCACAUGUAAUUGCUUUUAAAAUUAUAUAUAUAUAUAUAUAUAUAUAUAUGUUUAUGCUUUUAAUCCUUUACCUACAUAGUAUAUUUUCUAAAAUUCUAUUUUAUCAUGCAUUUUGGCUACCCUUUCAUUAUUAGAUUCUCUUUUAUUGCAUGUGUUUUUAAAUGUUUUUUUCACACCUUGUAUAUUAUUUGACUUUAAAAAUCUCCAUUCUAUAAUGCACAUUUUAAAUGAUUAUAUAUCUCUAGUUUUUUUUUAAUCCGUCAAUUCAUUAUAUGAUAUAUAUAUAUAUAUAUAUUAAGUAUUUAUCAUUGUUUUAAACUCGUUUUAUACCAUAUUGCUUUUUUUAUUUGCAUUUUGUUUUGUGCACCUUGCGUUGACCAUUUUAUAUUAUGUUAUGUAUAUUAUUUUGGCACAUUUUUAUGUAUUGUUUUGUGGUGUUGUAUUGUUGUAUUAUUAUUUUCUUUAUUGUAUUAUAUAUCAAUUAUUUCCCAUGUAUAAUUGUAGUCGGGUUAUAUUUUUUAGGUUAGUUAUAUUUAAUUAUUUACUUUGUUAGUUGAUUAAAUAAGACACAUUAUUCUCAUUCGUCAAGUUUUGUAUCUUAUGCAUAUACAUUAUCCCAUAUCAUUGUUUUCCACUUGGUUUAUGAAAUGUGGUUUUAUAAAAUCUGAAUCUUUAUAAUUAAUUUCGUCUUAUUUCAAGUCAUAUUAAUACAUUUUAAGCUAGUUUUAUAAUUAAUCAUUUAAAAAACUUUUUAAAACGAAGGCGAUGUUCGAUAUUUGGCAAUUCGAAGAAUCGUGCCCUAUCGUGCUGGGUUGCAAUUUCUUGUUUGCUCAAAAUAAUCGAAUGUCCCUUUAGAAUUUCACUCAUGUUUUCCAAAAACUCUUUGAAACGAAGGAAAUGUUCGAUGUUUGGUAAUUUGGGAAUCGUGCCCUAUCGUGCUGGGUUGCGAUUUUUUUCAUUUGUUCAAAAUAAUCGAAGAUUCCUUUGGAAUUUCACUCAUGUCUUUAAAAACUCUUCGAAACGAAGGUAAUACUCGAUGUUUGGCAAUUUGAGGAAUCGUGCCCUAUCGUGCUGGGUUGCGGUUUCCUGUUUGUUCAAAAUAAUCAAAUAUUCCUUUAGAAUUUCAUUCAUGCUCUCUAAAUUCUAAAAUAAGGCAAUGUUUGAUAUCUUGAAAUUCGAGGAAUCGUGCCCUACUGUGCUGGGUUUCGAUUUUUUCGUUGGACUAAAUAAUUGGGCAUCCUUUUGUGGUUUUCAACCAAUAAACUUUUGGAAGUCAAAAUUUAUCGUGUUCUCGAGGGUAUAAAGGAUCGUGUCCUAUCAUGCUGGAUGUGAUGUUGUAUUCCUUUGAAACAAGAGAAUUUUGACGAUCAAUUCGAGCUAUUCAAAUGUUAUUAAAAGGGACCACAUUUCAAAAACAUUUUUAAAUCUCAGACAUGAGGAUAGUAUCUAACCGAUUUGGUACCAAUUUUGGGUGUAAUGAGGGUGCUAAUCCUUCCUCAUACGUAACUGACUCCUGAACCCGUUUUCUCAAAUUUCAAAGACCAAAAUCGUUGUUUUAGUAAGCCAAAAUGUUUUAUUAAAAUGACCAAACUUAUUAGGUGAUCCAAUCACACCUAAACAAAAAAGAUUGGUGGCGACUCCAUUUCUGUUUUUCAUUAAAUUUAAAAUUUUGAAAGAUGGUUUUGAUAGCUUGGCAACUCCACUGGGGACGAUCGAGAGAGUCAAGCCGUAAAAUGGAUUGUUUGCUGUCCUUUUGUCAAAAACCGAAAAUUUGUUUUGAAAAUCAUGAUUGCAUUUGUUUGUAUGACUGUUAUGGAUUGGGCUUUUAGAGUAAUAUUGCAUUGCAUUGCAUGACCGCUGUGGUCACACCUUCUAAGUGGGAGUAAGAAACUAUGCUUUCGUGAGGUUUUCACCUCUACAUGGGCUAGUGGAUUGCUUCCAGGGUACAUCCGUAUCCAUGAUUUCGUGAGAUUUUCAACUCUGCAUGGUCAUAGGGAAAUGUAUCCCCCUGAACCGAACUCGAUCUAUAUGAGCCUAUAAUGGGUGAGGAUGGAGGAAUCUGCUGGUUCGGGUACCUUAUCUCUAGAACCGAACCACAUAUAGUGAACCUUAGAAGCUAUCCUUGGGUGGAGCCGCGUCAAGCCUUAGUAUUUACCCGUAUAUGCGUUGUAAUUAUCGUUUAUGUGCUUGCAUUUUAUCACUAUUAUUUGAUACUAACCUAUGUUUAGUUUUGACUGUGUUUUGCAUGACAUUGCAUACUAAAGGAGGUGUUGAUUCGUAUUCAAUUACUAAGUUAGAAAGUUUGACAUGGAGAAUGAAUUUCUUAGUAAAGUCGAGGAUAAUGCGGCGGUUCAUGCAUGGUCAGAGAAGCUACAAUCAGAGAAAGGGGAUAGCUUGGCAGAAGGAUAUAUAUCGGAGUUGUAGGAAUUCACUCGCGUCAUUGUAGCACAGAAUGAGCUGCAAGAGUUGAUAGAUAUAUAGGCUCAUUGGGAUGAAGAGACCAAGCAGUUGUUUUAUCAAAGCUAUAGUGAUAUAUCUUACUUGCUAGACAUUAGAGUGGAUAAGCACCUAUUCCGAGUUAUGGUUCAGUUUUGGAACUCUGCUUACAAGUGUUUCACUUUUGGAAAAGUGGAUUUAGUACCUACCAUGGAGGAAUAUACUGCUAUGCUUAGGUGUCCAAAAAUUCAGGUCAGAAUGACUUAUGCCAGGGUUUUUAAUGGUAAGACUUUCACGAAGAAGUUGAUGAGCAUUUCAGGGAUGAGCAAACCUUGGGUCACUGCUCGAAUUCAACAAAAGGGAGAUAGUAAAUGUAUCCUUUGGGAGAAUCUGCGAGAUUUGGUUUUAACGCAUCCAGAUGAAAGAAAGAGGGUCGAUAUCUUCACCUUAAGCAUCUACGGCUUGGUAAUUUUUCCUAAGGCUUUGAGGCACGUAGACAAGGAAAUCAUUGACUUAUUCGAUCGUCUUGAGAAGGGGAUCACACCUGUACCGGUGAUAUUGGCAGAGACGUUCAGAUCCUUGAGCACGUGUCGGAAGACAGGCGAGGGGCGGUUUAUCAGAUGUGCACAAUUAUUGAUGGUAUGGUUUCAUGGGCACUUUUGGAAGGUGGAAAAAGUUUCUUAUCGGGUCUUUUCCAAAGGUUAUUCCCUGUUAAAAGAGGAGGUCGCCAUACAAAGGAAAGAGAAUAUCUUAGAGGAGAAGUGGAUGGAAAUUCUUCAAAGCCUCAAGGAGGAGGAUAUCGAGUGGAGAGCUUAUUGGAUGGUCCCUGAUGAUAUCAUGUAUCGAUGUGGGAACUUUGAUUGGGUACCAUUGUUAGGAAUUUGGGGAGCUACCGAGUAUACUCCAUUGCUUGCGUUGAGGCAAUAUAAAUCAAGGUAGUUUGUACCCACGACCUACGGACUUACUCAGUGUGAAUUCUCCUUUAAAGGUGCCCACUAUAAGAAGAAAGUUCGGGAGCUAUCGGAUGCUUGGAAGCAAACUCGUUGGAUGAAGAGGUUGGCCAUCGGUUCCAUGGUGACGCCUGAGUAUGAUGGAUGGUUUAAGAAGAGGACUAAUGAUAAUGUUCCUAGGCCAAGCUUGGAGAAUACUCGACCUAUGGUGGAACAAUUACAAGUCGCCCCGUCAGAGCUAGAAAUUAUAAAGCAAGACUUCGAGAAGAAGAGUUCAGAGCUUGGGAAAAAGAUCAAACAAUUGGAGGAAGAGAAGAUGCACCUAAGAUUAGACGCUAAUGUCCAGAGGUCAGAGGCUGAAAAGUGGAGAAAGGGGAAAACUAAGGCCGAAGAAGGUCUAGACAACUUGAAGACUGAUUAUAAGAAGCUACGCCUGUCUAUGAGGACUGCGGGGUUGGGUAAAACUUUCGAACAAUGGCGUCAUGAAAUUCGAGAAGAAAAGACCAAGGCCGAUCGAUGGUAAAGGAAAUUCUGAGAAGCUCAGGCACGAAAUGAAGAUUUACAGAAGAGUCUGUCAGAAAGCAGAAAUGAGCGAGGUGAAUUAAAGGCUAGAGUGGCAGAACUCGAGAAGUCCCUUCAUCAGUACUGAAACUGCAACACCACAAUGGAAUUGAGGGCAAGUUUAAGCAAAAUAGAAGAAAUGAAAGGAAAAAUAGAAGAAUUAAAAGCGUCACUGCAAAACUGUGAGAUGGGAUUCAGUUUUUCGAGGCAAAUGAGGACCGUUGGAAGAGCAGCUUCACCAUGCGCAAGACCAAGUCAGAAAUAGGGAUUACCUUAUGGGGGAAGCCAUAACCCAGAUUCGGGAGGUAGCUGACUACUUGCAAGCUUUAGCGGUACAGGCGGACACACUGAGCGUGAAGUACGAGUUAGAGUCAGAUCGCGAGCAAGAGUUGGCCUCGUUUCUUAGGAAAAUUAAGACUUUAAGCAUUAGAGCAAAGUUUUAUUUGUAACUCAACUUUAUGUAAAAAGAAUUUUAUUUUCUAGUGAAGUUUUCUAAAGGGAAUUGAAUAAAAAUUGAUGCCUCCUUUACAUUCAUGCAUUUGCAUUACAUCACAUCAUUAUGCAUUAAAGGUCAUAAAAUGUUUCUAAUUAAUUAAAAAUCAUUUCAGUAACCUGGAAACCAACGAAAACCAACCGACUACGCACCCCUAUGGUACAAGGAAAAAGUCAAUGGAUAAAAGACUUGAGAAAUUAGAGAAAAUGCAAAAGGACAUGCAGGAAUAAAUGUAGUAUCAGAUGCAAGAGUAGCUAGCCAAGAUUCAGCGAGAGAUGAAGGAGCAAAUGAUGGAAUCCCAAAGAGAAAUGAUGAGCCAGUUAUCCCAAUUGUUAAUGGGAAGAACGGAUAAGGCAAAGGGUCCCAUAGACAAUGUUGAAGAAACUAAUGAAGAUCCUCAAUACCCCCUAGCUUCACUCCGACACAUGUACCAAUGAAGCCCGGGAUUAAUCUACAAAGACCAUCUAUUAUGAUCAUGCCUCAGCAGAUUCAGGCCAGAGCUUCAAUACCGAUGAAUUUCCAAACUGGCUCAGGCUCUAACCUUGUUAAUAACCCAAAUUAUCCAUCCGUUCUCGAUUUAGAUGAAGUGGCAGAAGAAGAAAAGUCAAGGAUGGAAUCACAGAAGCAAUUAGAGGAGUGUUGUAAAUGGCUAGAGGAAAAAUACAGAGCUAUGGAAAGCGCAGAUAAUCAUCAAGGGAUUGAUUCUAAGGACCUGAGUUUGGUCCCAGAUUUGGUCCUUCCCCCCAAAUUCAAAAUGCCUGAAUUUAAGAAAUACAAUGGAACAAGCUGUCUUGAAACUCACAUCACUAUGUUUCGCAGGCGAAUGACCGGAUACGUUAACAACGACCAGUUAUUAAUUCACUACUUUCAAGAUAGUCUGGUUGAGGCGGCGUCUAAGUGGUAUAACCAAUUAAGCCGCGCUAAAAUUAACUCAUGGAAGGACCUGGCUCAGGCCUUUAUAAAACAAUAUAAUCAUGUGACAGACAUGACCCCAGACAGGAUCACUCUCCAGAAUAUGAAGAAGAAAUCAAAUGAAAGUUUCAAGCAGUAUGCACAAAGAUGGAGAGAAGUGGCCAUACAAGUUCAGCCGCCGCUUCUAGAAAAAGGAAACCACGAUAGUCUUUAUCAACACCUUGAAGGCCCCUUUUAUCACUCAUAUGUUGGGAAGCGCCACCAAGAGCUUCUCAGAUAUAGUGAUGAUGGGUGAAAUGAUUGAAAAUGCUGUGAGGAACGGUAAGAUAGAAGCAGGAGAAAAUACCAGAAAGUCGGCCCUAGAAAGCGGUAAGAUACGAGCACAUUCAGUAAGGGCCAGUCCAAGUCAUUCAUCGUAAAUCAACCCAAGACGGUGACCACCAACCAACAUAGCACUAUGAGACAAGAAUCCAACGCGAGCGAGAACACAGAAAGGCCACAGUUCACCCCUAUACCCAUGACGUAUAGGGAACUAUACCAGAACCUGUUCAAUGCUCAUGUAGUGUCCCCUUUUUACUUGAAGCCACUACAGCCCCCGUAUCCCAAAUGGUAUGACACAAACACCCAAUGUGAAUACUACACGGGAAUCACCAGGCACUCAACCGAAAACUGCACUGCGUUCAAGAAAGUAGUCGAGAGACUCAUUAAAAUAGGGAUCGUAAGUUUGACGACCAAGCCGUACCCAAUGUAGCAGGAAAUCUGCUCCCUAAUCAUGCCGACCAAGGAGUGAAUGGGAUAAGCGAAGACAGGAACAAGAGGAUCAAAAGUAAGAUUGUAGAAGUCAGGACCCCAUUGAGACGGGUGUGGAGGGAGAUGGUCAAGAGAGGAUUGAUCGCGUUGGAUUCGAGAAAAGAAUCUGAAGAAAAGAGGAACUACUACAAGUUCCACAAUGAGGUGGGGUAUGAAAUCCAGGAGUGUGUGGAGUUCAGGGCCCUCGUGCAGGACAUGAUGAACAAUAAAGAAAUGGAGUUCUAUGAAGAGACAGAAAACCCCGGAGAGGGAGAUAUAUGUGCAUCAGAGGGAGGAUCAAUGGCGCAGAAUCAAACAGCUAGCUAUCCUAUGGUCAUCAUAUCAUAACCCAAAAAUAAUGAAGUUGAAGUGCAAAUGCCACCGAGGGUCAUAAUCCAAAGACCUGCAGUCUUCCCCUACAAAGACAGCAAAAAGGUCCCAUGAAAUUAUGAUUGUAACGUGACGAUUCUGGGAAAGGAAAGCCUGGCUGACACUUCAAAAUAAAACAAGAUAGGGGCUCCUAUACAUGUAGCGGGAGACGUUACGAUACGGCAAGCGAGAAGAAACAACCCGUAAAAGGAAAAGCCCCAGUGGUCGAAGAGAUGAAGGAAAAAGCGACCAAAUCUGAACUUUCUGUUAAUGAGCUAGUUAAUGAGGAGGAGGCUAAGGAGUUUUUGAAAUUCCUAAAACACAGCGAGUACAGUGUGGUGGAACAGCUACGUAAACAACCAGCUCGUAUCUCGGUGCUGGCCUUACUCUUGAUUUCAGAAGUCCAUCGCAGCACGCUAAUGAAGGUCUUGAAUUAAACGUAUGUUGCCGAUGAUAUCUUCGUCAACAAGCUAGACUAUUUAGUUAGAAACAUAAGUGCCGAUAACUUUAUUUUCUUCAAUGACGAUAAGAUACCACCCAGUGGCAAGGGGUCAACUAAAGCUUUGCACAUUACCACGCGCUGUAAGGGGUAUACGCUGCCAAGCAUACUGAUUGACAACGAGUCGGCCUUGAACGUCUUGCCAUUGACUAUAUUAAAUAGAUUACCCAUAGAAAGCUCUCACAUGAAGGAGUGUCAGAACAUAGUGAAAGCAUUCGAUGGCACGGAGAGAAGGGUGAUGGGCAGAAUCGAGGUACCUCUUCAGAUCGGGCCAAACACAUAUGAGGUGGAUUUCCUAGUGAUGGAUAUCAAGCCCUUACACAACUGUUUAUUGGGAAAGCCCUGGAUACAUUCAGCUGGGGCAGUGCCUUCAUCGCUGCAUCAAAAGUUGAAGUUGGUAUCAGAGGGACGGUUGAUAUCGAUCAAUGCUGAAGAGGAUAUUAUUGCAACUGUAAGCAGCAAUGCGCACUAUUUGGAGACAGAUGACGAAGCAAUCGAAUGCUCAUUUCGAUCUUUCAAAUUUGUUAAUGUGACGUUCAUCGCCGAGGGAGGCAAGAUUCUGAUGCCAAAAUUGUCCAAAACUACGAGGAUGAGUCUACAGUUGAUGGUUAGAAAAGAGGCCCUACCCGGAAGAGGACUUGGGAGACAUCUCCAAGGAAAGAUUGAAAUGCCAAUCAUGAAGGACAAGAGAGAAUGCUUCAGCUUAGGAUUUAAGCCAGAUGCAAGAUAAAUGAGAAGGGAGCUGGAAAAGAAGCAAGAAAGAAGGAGAGCACGGUUAACCGGGGAGGAAAUCAAAUGGGAGCCAAUGAUAUUCCCCCAUAUAUCAAAAACUUUUGUUUCCGGAGGAAUCAUUCAUCUUGAGGGGGGCACGCCAAGAAAGGAAGACAUAGAGGAAAGGUUGGAAAGGUUGGACAUCAACGCCACAUACGAAGAAGAGACUGGAGGAGAAAACUUUUCAGGCAUUUUCCCCUACAUACCUGGAAGUGUUCUGGAUAACUGGACUACGGAAGAGAUUCCUGUAAUUUUUAAAACUGACUCAGAGCAAUGUCUAAAACACACUUAUUGCUCUAGGCCUAGGAGUAAUAAUAAUCUUUUGUGAAAUAGGCUUAUGUUUAAAAAUGUUAUUUCAAUGAAAUGCACAAUUAUUAUCAUUUUGAGCAGAUGUUCUUUCAUUCUUUCAAUUUCAUUCAUAAUCAUAUUAUACAAACGAUUACUUUCGGAUUCUUUUGUUCUUCGAAUGUUCUUUUAAAUAUUCUUUCAUUCUUUAUUCAUAAUCAUACCAUACAGAUAAAUGUUCUUGAAUUCUUUUAAUUCUUUGUAUCUUCCUUCAUCCUCAUAACAGGUCCCUAGAUAUCAAUGAUACGAGUGACACUACUAGUGGCUCAGAAUCUCCUUUUGAGUAAGGUAUGUGUAUGGAGGAUUCUCAAGAUUUCAAAGAUGACCAAGGCUGUAACCUAUCUCUUGAUUUGUUGAGGAUAGUAGAACAAGACGAGAAACAAAUCCUACCUCACAAAGAAACAGUAGAAAUUGUGAGCUUAGGAGAGGGACAAAAGAUGAAGAUGAGAACUUGUAUCACCAUGAAGAUGAAGCGAGAUCUUAUCGAAUUACUUCAAGAAUUCAAAGAUGUUUUCGCAUGGUCAUACCAAGAUAUGCUCGGGUUGAACACUGAUAUUGUGGUGCACCGACUCCCUAUAAAGGAAGAGUGUAAACCUAAAGUAAAAAACACAGAAGAAUGAGGCCCGACGUCUUGCUAAAAAUAAAAGAAGAGGUUAGAAAGCAGUUUGACGCUGGAUUUUUAAAGGUGGUAAAGUACUCCGAAUGGGUAGCCAACAUCGUCCCCAUCCCGAAGAAGGAUGGAAAAGUACGCAUGUGUGUAGACUACAGAGAUUUGAACAAAGCCAGCCCGAAAGAUAAUUUCUCACUGCCUCAUAUUGACACCCUAGUGGACAACACGGUAGGACACUCACUGUUUUCAUUCAUGGACGGUUUCUACGGAUAUAACCAGAUCAAUAUGCAUCAUGAAGAGAUGGAGAAGACCACAUUUGUAACCAUGUGAGGCACGUUCUGCUACAAGGUGAUGCCGUUUGGACUGAAGAAUGCGGGGGCAACAUAUCAAAGGGCCAUGGUAACCCUUUUUCACGACAUGAUGCAUAAAGAAAUCGAGGUUUAUGUCGAUAAUAUGAUCGCAAAGUCCCGAACAGAGAAAGAGUACAUAUAAGUCCUGAGAAAGUUGUUCUUAAGGUUCAGCUAAAACUCAAUCCGGCCAAAUGUACCUUCAGAGCCAAGUCUGGAAAGUUGCUCGGAUUUGUGUUUAGUGAAAAGGGGAUUGAGAUCGAUCCAGACAAAUUCAAAGCUAUACAAGAGCUAUCUCCACCGCGUACCCAGAAAGAGGUUCGAGGCUUUCUAGGAAGAUUAAAUUACAUUGCCCGGUUCAUUUCAUAAUUAACCGAAAAAUGUGACCCUGUCUUCCGCCUCCUCAAGAAACACAACCCAGGUGUAUGGGAUGAAGAAUGCCAAAGGGCUUUUGACAAGGUCAAACAGUACUUAUCUAAUGCUCCGGUGCUGAUGCCACCUAACCCCAAUAGGCCAUUGAUACUGUAUUUGGUAGUAUUUGAGAAUUCCAUGGGAUGCGUACUGGGUCAACAUGAUGAGUCAGGAAGGAAGGAAAAAGCUAUUUACUAUCUCACUAAAAAGUUCACUGAAUGUGAGACAAGGUACCCGUCGAUAGAAAAGUUGUGUUAUGCCCUAAUUUGGCCAACCCGAAGGCUGAGGCAGUAUAUGUUGUAUCACACUACUUGGCUCAUUUUAAAACUCGACCCUUUAAAGUACAUGAUAGAGUCGAUAGCUUUGAAUCGGAGGAUGGCCCGAUGGAAAAUUCUGCUCUCCAAAUUCGACAUUGUCUAUGUAAACCAGAAAGCAGUAAAAUGGAGUGUAAUAGCAAAUUUUCUGGCCAGUAGAGCUUUGGAAGACUACGAGCCCUUGAACUUCGAUUUCCCGAAUGAAGACCUGAUGUGUGUUGCGACUAUUGAAGAAGGUUCUCCGGAAGAACUUCCCUGAAAACUAAACUUCGAUGGGGCAUCAAAUGUUGUGGGUAAUGGAAUCGGGGCAGUCUUGGUAUCCCCAAACGGAGAUCACUAUCCAUUUACUAGUAAAUUAGAUUUUGAGUGUACAAAUAACAUGGCAGAAUAUGAAGUGUGCAUCAUGGGUAUUCAUGCAGCCAUAGAACGCAAGAUUAAAGUGUUAGAGGUGUAUGGAGAUUCUGCGCUAGUGCUUUAUUAACUCAAGGGAGAAUGGGAGACCAAAGAUCCCAACUUGAUCGAUUAUCAAAAAUUGGUCAUCGAAUUGGUUAAAGAGUUCGAUGACAUUACCUUCUACUACCUUCCACGGAACGAAAAUUAGAUGGUCGAUGCUUUGGCCACCUUAGCCUCCAUGAUCAAGGUAAACAAACAAGAAGAUGUCAAACCCAUCCAGAUGAGCAUUUAUGAAACUCCGGCUCACUGUUAUAGUAUCGAAGAAAAUGAAGAAAAAAAUGAUCACCCUUGGUAUCACGAUAUAUUACAAUACGUAAAGAAUUGUGAAUACCCAGACUAGGCAAGCGAGAAUGACAAAAGGACGUUGAGAAAAUUGGCCAUUGACUAUGUCCUAGUUAGGGAGAUCCUAUACAAAAGAAGAAAGGAUCAAGAGCUAUGAAGAUGCGUAGACGCUGUAGAGGCUAAGAAAAUCUUGGAAGAAGUCUAUAAAGGCGUCUGUGGGACACACACUAAUGGCUUUACAAUGGCCAGGAAAAUUAUGAGAUUCAGGUAUCAUUGGUCCACAAUAGAAGGAGACUGUGUCAAUUACACCAAGAGAUGUCAUAAAUGCCAAAUCUAUGGAGAUAAAAUUCAUGUGCCCCCUUCACCGCUGCAUGUCAUGACUUCCCCAUGGCCUUUCUCUAUGUGGGGUAUGGAUGUUAUUGGACCAAUAUCGCCAAAGGCUUCCAAUGGGUAUCGGUUCAUCUUUGUGGUUAUUGACUACUUACCAAAUAGGUAGAAGCCGCUUCAUAUGCCAAUGUUACAAAGUCAAAAGUGAGCAAAUUUCUAAAAAAGGAGAUCAUAUGCCGAUAUGGAAUGCUGGAGAGGAUCAUAUCUAACAAUGCAUUAAACUUGAACAAUAUUACGAUAGUGGAAGUCUGCAGUCAAUUCAAGAUCAGACAUCACAACUCGUCACCAUGUCGCCCGAAAAUGAAUGGGGCAGUGGAAGCAGCCAAUAAAAAUAUUAAGAAGAUUGUGGGGAAGAUGACUAGGACCUACAAAGAUUGACAUGAGAAGUUACCAUUUGCCCUCUUUGCUUAUCGAACAUUAGUCAGAACCUCAAAUGGGGCAACGCCUUUCUCUUUGGUCUACAGAAUAGAAGCGAUUCUGCCAAUCGAAGUCGAGAUUUCGUCCCUUCGAGUGUUGUUGGAACUAAAGUUGGAUGAAGCAGAGUGGAUCCAGUCUCGAUAUGAUCAAUUGAACUUGAUUGAGGAAAAGAUGCUAAGAGCUAUCCGUCAUGGUCAGAUGUACCAAAAAUGAAUGAUGCGGGCUUAUGAAAAAAAAAAGUUCGCCCUAGGGAAUUCCAUGAGGGAGACCUGGUUUUGAAAAAGAUCCUUCCCAUACAGAAGGAUUUUAGAGGAAAAUGGAUGCCUAAUUGGGAGGGGCCCUACGUGGUGAAGAACGCUUUCUUCGGAGGAGCAUUGAUUCUAGCCGAGAUGGAUGGUAAAAACUUGCCCAAUCCUGUAAAUUCAGAUUCCGUCAAGAAGUAUUUUACCUAAAGAGGGAGAGGCCAAGGUGAAAACCCGCAAAGGGCACCUUCAGACCCUCAAAAAAAAAAAGAGAGGCCAAGGCGAAAACCUGCAAAGGGCUCUUUGAGACCAAAUGGAUUUUUGAGUUGAAAACCCGAAAAUAGGCAGCUCAAAUUUUGAACAUGAGGUAUGUGGUAGUCUUGUCCUCCCAAAAUUAAUAAGAGGGAAGAACAGUACACCUUGAAGCAUCAAUAAAAUAUGCAGGAUCUCUCGAACACACAUUUAGUUCGAAGGAGCCGUUGCGAAAUUGGAAUAGUGAAGCUCGUGCUGCGAUAUCUGAGGCACCUUUUUUCCUCAUUUUAUUUUGUGCCUUAGUAGACUUGCUAUCCUGUUUAAUGUAUUCACUUCGAGUUUUGCUCAAUAAAAUUUCAUCUUGUCCAUUAUAAUAAUCUCUUUCGAGCAUUUCUAUUGAAAUCACGAUUUUUGGACUUAUAACACUCACACAAAAGAAGUUAUGCAUAUUAAUCUGGAAGGUUUCUAAAUAGUACAAGGACUUGAAACAGGGCCAUUAGUCAGAACUAACCAGACUCAAAAGUGGGAAACAUUGGAAAAAGAAUAGUCCAAAUUGUGACUAUUUCUUCAAACUUUCUGUCAAAGAUAACAACUAAGCAAGAAGACGUGAUAGCAUAUCAAUGAUAGAACCUAGAUGAACUAUGAGCAAUGAUACAUUAAGCUUUUAAAAAGGAAUUACUUUCAUGACAUUUCUACAUUCAUAAUCAUUCAUUUAGUUAGGAGCGCUUGAUUCAUUUCGAUCAUAUCAUUCUAAUUAUCUGAUAAAAGCACCACAUCUAGUUAGGUACAUGUGAUUCAUUUCGAUCAUAGCAUCCUAAUUAUUUGACAUACGCAUAGGCUUAUGAAACUAAUUCUACAGAUCUUGUCUCCCUGAAGUUGCAGCGGAACAGAUCAAAAAUGGCGAAUCUAGUCAUCCUAAAGUUGCAGUGAAACAGAUUUAAGCUGCCAUCCUAUCUCCCUAAAGUUGUAGUUGGGUAGGUUGAAGAUUGUAGAUCUUGUUUCCCUAAAGUUGCAGCAGAGGAGAUAGAAGAUGGUGAAUCUUGUCUUCCUGAAGUUGCAGUGAAACAGAUUUAAGCCACCAUCCUAUCUCCCUAAAGUUGUAGUGGGGUAGGUUGAAGAUUGUAGAUCUUGUUUCCCUGAAGUUGCAGUGGAGCAGAUCGAAGACGGUGAGUCUUGUCUUCCUGAAGAUGCAGUGAAGCAGAUUGAAGUCACUAUCCUUAUCUCUCUAAAGUUCCAGUAGAGCAGGAUAAAAACAUAUGAGCCAUGUCUCCCUGAAGUUGCAGUGGAGCAUAUUGAAGCUACUUGAAGAAAACAAGCGUCAAAAGAAGUCGACUCAGCACGUCCUGGCAAAAUUGGCCCAUUUAUAGUCUUUGCUCUAUUCUCGUUACACAAUAAUGAGCAACGAGGGGCAGUUGUAAACGGGCCAAUUUUCCCGGGCCCACGUCAAGAACCAAAGUCCAAAAUAAAAAAACAAAAAAAUAAACAAAAACCAAACCAAAAUUAAAAUGUCCAGUUUUACAGCAAUCUAAAACCCAAAUAACCCUAAGUACAAUGGCCCAAUACCCUACAGCCCGAAAACAAAAAUCAAGGUAGAAACCCUAGGUUUUUUUGCCUCUUGCGAAACAGCCCCAGCCUCCGUACCCUCCACCAGCACAUAGCCCUCGUACGCCACGCCCGCACCUCCGUAUGAUGCCAGCGGACUCCGUACCUGCAAGCAAAUACGAAAACACCAGCACAGCAAAGGGAAAGAAAAAAUGACAAGAAACUUGUAUUUUGUUUUUCAUUUUUUCUCUGUUUCUAGCUAUAAAAGCCAUGUAAUAGCCGUUGUAUUUUUUUUUAUGAACACAGAGACACACAGAAUAGAAAAAAGCAAUCAAGAUAGUAAAGGUGAUUUUAAAGUUCUUUUUUUUUUCUCUCUGUCGAUUUAUCUUCCUUUUGAAUGAUUUAAAUUUUUUUUAUACGUAAAUCGACACCGAUGAGAAGCCCAAAUACCUCAUAUAUGCAGAGGUAAGGGCGAGGGGUCAAACAAUGUGGAGAUUUCCUUGCUCUAUGAAAC
rnacentral:lncRNA from 1 species